rnacentral:rRNA from 1 species
CCUANGGGUGGCAGCAGUGGGGAAUCUUGCACAAUGGGGGAAACCCUGAUGCAGCGACGCCGCGUGAGCGAUGAAGCCCUUCGGGGUGUAAAGCUCUUUCGACAGGAACGAUAAUGACGGUACCUGGAGAAGAAGCUGCGGCUAACUACGUGCCAGCAGCCGCGGUAAUACGUAGGCAGCAAGCGUUGUUCGGAGUUACUGGGCGUAAAGAGUAUGUAGGCGGUUAUCUAAGUCUGGUGUGAAAUCUCCCGGCUCAACUGGGAGGCUGCAUUAGAUACUGGAUAGCUUGAGCGUGGGAGAGGAAAGCGGAAUUUCUGGUGUAGCGGUGAAAUGCGUAGAUAUCAGAAGGAACACCUGCGGUGAAGACAGCUUUCUGGACCACAGCUGACGCUGAGAUACGAAAGCGUGGGUAGCAAACAGGAUUAGAUACCCGUNUANUC